UACGAAUGGAGCAAGCGUUGUUCGGAAUCACUGGGCUUAAAGCGUGCGUAGGCGGACAUGAAAGUCAGGAGUGAAAUCCCGGGGCUUAACCCCGGAAUUGCUUUUGAAACUCCAUGUCUGGAAUCCGGGAGGGGUUAGUGGAAUUCCGAGUGUAGAGGUGAAAUUCGCAGAUAUUCGGAGGAACACCAGUGGCGAAGGCGACUGACUGGACCGGCAUUGACGCUGAGGCACGAAAGCGUGGGUAGCAAACAGG
rnacentral:rRNA from 1 species